CCUGGGGUUGAAACCUCAGGCUAUUAUCUGUCGUCCCUAUCGGGACU
rnacentral:sRNA from 1 species